UACAGAGGGGGCAAGCGUUGUUCGGAAUUACUGGGCGUAAAGGGCGCGUAGGCGGCCUUCUAAGUCGAACGUGAAAUCCCCGGGCUCAACCCGGGAACUGCGUCCGAUACUGGAAGGCUUGAAUCCGGGAGAGGGAUGCGGAAUUCCAGGUGUAGCGGUGAAAUGCGUAGAUAUCUGGAGGAACACCGGUGGCGAAGGCGGCAUCCUGGACCGGGAUUGACACUGAGGCGCGAAAGCGUGGGGAGCAAACAGG
rnacentral:rRNA from 1 species